GUGACUUGUCAGUAUCUUCAGUCCGGUGAGUUGUUAGUCAGUGAAGUAAACGUCAACCACAACCAUUUCCUAACCCCACUGAAGUGGUAGUGUUGCCUAAACCUAACUUCCUGUGAAAAUGGAAGUUUAUUUUGAAAGGACAUUAUAUGUAUGUAAUGACCGU